rnacentral:rRNA from 1 species
GACGAAGGUGGCUAGCGUUAUUCGGAUUUACUGGGCAUAAAGCGCGCGUAGGCGGCUCGGAAAGUCGGUCGUGAAAUGCCGGGGCUCAACCCCGGGACUGCGUCCGAUACUUCCGGGCUGGAGGUAGGUAGGGGAGAUCGGAAUUCCUGGUGUAGCGGUGAAAUGCGCAGAUAUCAGGAGGAACACCGGUGGCGAAGGCGGAUCUCUGGGCCUUACCUGACGCUGAGGCGCGAAAGCUAGGGGAGCAAACGGG